UUUUUCAUUAGUAUACGGCGGCUGUUGCGUGGGAAUACACCGGUGCCAUCUCUGUAGUGUUCUCAGUUUAUACGUGGGCCUCCGUGAUGUGCAAAGAUUGAUUCGCAGGGUGCGCCAUCUAGAAAAUAAUAAUCGCAGAGUGCGCGUGGUUCAACUGGUCAUCCCCUACGCCUCGUAGUAUAAGCGGAAGUGAGGUCGCCAUGGAUGGGGAUGGAGUUCUUCUUCGAGGAGAUUGAAUCGGGAUUUGUUCCUCGAUUGGACGCCGGGAUUCUCUUAAGAGAGUGUUCCUGAUGGGCAAACAGGAUCCAUGGUGUCCGUGUUUGUCGGAUUUCUUCCGAGACGGGCGAGGGGGAGGAUACGCUCGGGAAAUAGAAGUGGACAAGCAAACGGAAGAAACGAUCCUCACGGAAAAAAUUACAGGCUCAUAGGAUGCUAAUGCGCGCGCGCGCGUCACAGCGAGCGAUUUCCGACCAGGAUAAGAAUUGGUAAAGCUGCUGAGGAGAGGAGAGCAACGCCAACCCUAGCAGAGUGCCUUCCCUGGAGGCUUCAGUUCGUGCUUAUGCUGAUAAGUAGACAUGUUGUGUUGUUAAUCCACAAGUUGGUACUAACUUCGAUUCUGUUGAAGAGGCGUACAAAUUUGACAACGUAAACUCCUCGGAGACUGGUUUUGGAUAGCCGGUUGUAUGUCCAUAAAAAGAAAUGCAUGCAACAGAUCGUGUGGGCAUGCACGGUGAGCAGCUGAUGAUUUUUGUGAAUGAGACCAUGCUUGAUUUUGUGUGCCCAUUAGGGAUUAGAAGACGCACGGCUCAUGAGUAACUGAUGAUAAAUACGCCUGCACUAAAUACAUGCACUUCGGCAUUUCUUGUUGAA